rnacentral:rRNA from 1 species
UACGAAGGGGGCUAGCGUUGUUCGGAAUUACUGGGCGUAAAGCGCGCGCAGGCGGUCUUCCAAGUCAGUGGUGAAAGCCCGGAGCUCAACUCCGGAACUGCCAUUGAAACUGUGAGACUUGAGGAUGAGAGAGGUGAGUGGAAUUCCCAGUGUAGAGGUGAAAUGCGCAGAUAUCAGGAGGAACACCGGUGGCGAAGGCGGGUCUCUGGGCCGAUACUGACGCUGAGGAGCGAAAGCGUGGGGAGCGAACAGG